rnacentral:rRNA from 1 species
CACUAUCGUUAACUGAAUACAUAGGUUAACGAGGCGAACCGGGGGAACUGAAACAUCUAAGUACCCCGAGGAAAAGAAAUCAACCGAGAUUCCCCCAGUAGCGGCGAGCGAACGGGGAGCAGCCCAGAGUCUGAAUCAGCUUGUGUGUUAGUGGAACGGUCUGGAAAGUCCGACGGUACAGGGUGAUAGUCCCGUACACCAAAAUGCACAGGUUGUGAACUCGAAGAGUAGGGCGGGACACGUGGUAUCCUGUCUGAAUAUGGGGGGACCAUCCUCCAAGGCUAAAUACUCCUGACUGACCGAUAGUGAACCAGUACCGUGAGGGAAAGGCGAAAAGAACCCCGGCGAGGGGAGUGAAAAAGAACCUGAAACCGUGUACGUACAAGCAGUGGGAGCACCUUUAUGGUGUGACUGCGUACCUUUUGUAUAAUGGGUCAGCGACUUAUAUUCUGUAGCAAGGUUAACCGUAUAGGGGAGCCGCAGGGAAACCGAGUCUUAACUGGGCGUUAAGUUGCAGGGUAUAGACCCGAAACCCGGUGAUCUAGCCAUGGGCAGGUUGAAGGUUGGGUAACACUAACUGGAGGACCGAACCGACUAAUGUUGAAAAAUUAGCGGAUGACUUGUGGCUGGGGGUGAAAGGCCAAUCAAACCGGGAGAUAGCUGGUUCUCCCCGAAAGCUAUUUAGGUAGCGCCUCGUGAACUCAUCUUCGGGGGUAGAGCACUGUUUCGGCUAGGGGGUCAUCCCGACUUACCAACCCGAUGCAAACUACGAAUACCGAAGAAUGUUAUCACGGGAGACACACGGCGGGUGCUAACGUCCGUCGUGAAGAGGGAAACAACCCAGACCGCCAGCUAAGGUCCCAAAGUCAUGGUUAAGUGGGAAACGAUGUGGGAAGGCACAGACAGCCAGGAUGUUGGCUUAGAAGCAGCCAUCAUUUAAAGAAAGCGUAAUAGCUCACUGGUCGAGUCGGCCUGCGCGGAAGAUGUAACGGGGCUAAACCAUGCACCGAAGCUGCGGCAGCGACACGAUGUGUUGUUGGGUAGGGGAGCGUUCUGUAAGCCUGCGAAGGUGGCCUGUGAGGGUUGCUGGAGGUAUCAGAAGUGCGAAUGCUGACAUAAGUAACGAUAAAGCGGGUGAAAAGCCCGCUCGCCGGAAGACCAAGGGUUCCUGUCCAACGUUAAUCGGGGCAGGGUGAGUCGACCCCUAAGGCGAGGCCGAAAGGCGUAGUCGAUGGGAAACAGGUUAAUAUUCCUGUACUUGGUGUUACUGCGAAGGGGGGACGGAGAAGGCUAUGUUAGCCGGGCGACGGUUGUCCCGGUUUAAGCAUGUAGGCUGGUUAUCCAGGCAAAUCCGGAUAAUCAAGGCUGAGGUGUGAUGACGAGGCACUACGGUGCUGAAGUAACAAAUGCCCUGCUUCCAGGAAAAGCCUCUAAGCAUCAGGUAACAUCAAAUCGUACCCCAAACCGACACAGGUGGUCAGGUAGAGAAUACCAAGGCGCUUGAGAGAACUCGGGUGAAGGAACUAGGCAAAAUGGUGCCGUAACUUCGGGAGAAGGCACGCUGGUGUGUAGGUGAAGUCCCUGCGGAUGGAGCUGAGACCAGUCGAAGAUACCAGCUGGCUGCAACUGUUUAUUAAAAACACAGCACUGUGCAAACACGAAAGUGGACGUAUACGGUGUGACGCCUGCCCGGUGCCGGAAGGUUAAUUGAUGGGGUUAUCCGUAAGGAGAAGCUCUUGAUCGAAGCCCCGGUAAACGGCGGCCGUAACUAUAACGGUCCUAAGGUAGCGAAAUUCCUUGUCGGGUAAGUUCCGACCUGCACGAAUGGCGUAAUGAUGGCCAGGCUGUCUCCACCCGAGACUCAGUGAAAUUGAACUCGCUGUGAAGAUGCAGUGUACCCGCGGCAAGACGGAAAGACCCCGUGAACCUUUACUAUAGCUUGACACUGAACAUUGAGCCUUGAUGUGUAGGAUAGGUGGGAGGCUUUGAAGCGUGGACGCCAGUCUGCGUGGAGCCAACCUUGAAAUACCACCCUUUAAUGUUUGAUGUUCUAACGUUGGCCCCUUACCGGGGUUGCGGACAGUGUCUGGUGGGUAGUUUGACUGGGGCGGUCUCCUCCCAAAGCGUAACGGAGGAGCACGAAGGUUAGCUAAUCCUGGUCGGACAUCAGGAGGUUAGUGCAAUGGCAUAAGCUAGCUUGACUGCGAGCGUGACGGCGCGAGCAGGUGCGAAAGCAGGUCAUAGUGAUCCGGUGGUUCUGAAUGGAAGGGCCAUCGCUCAACGGAUAAAAGGUACUCCGGGGAUAACAGGCUGAUACCGCCCAAGAGUUCAUAUCGACGGCGGUGUUUGGCACCUCGAUGUCGGCUCAUCACAUCCUGGGGCUGAAGUAGGUCCCAAGGGUAUGGCUGUUCGCCAUUUAAAGUGGUACGCGAGCUGGGUUUAGAACGUCGUGAGACAGUUCGGUCCCUAUCUGCCGUGGGCGCUGGAGAAUUGAGGGGGGCUGCUCCUAGUACGAGAGGACCGGAGUGGACGCAUCACUGGUGUUCGGGUUGUCAUGCCAAUGGCACUGCCCGGUAGCUAAAUGCGGAAGAGAUAAGUGCUGAAAGCAUCUAAGCACGAAACUUGCCCCGAGAUGAGUUCUCCCUGAGACUUUAAGUCUCCUGAAGGAACGUUAAAGACGAUGACGUUGAUAGGCCGGGUGUGUAAGCGCAGCGAUGCGUUGAGCUAACCGGUACUAAUGAACCGUGAGGCUUAACCUU